CAGUAGCCACGGUAAUACGUAGGGUGCAAGCGUUAAUCGGAAUUACUGGGCGUAAAGCGUGCGCAGGCGGUUAUAUAAGACAGAUGUGAAAUCCCCGGGCUCAACCUGGGAACUGCAUUUGUGACUGUAUAGCUAGAGUACGGCAGAGGGGGAUGGAAUUCCGCGUGUAGCAGUGAAAUGCGUAGAUAUGCGGAGGAACACCGAUGGCGAAGGCAAUCCCCUGGGCCUGUACUGACGCUCAUGCACGAAAGCGUGGGGAGCAAACAGGAUUAGAUACCCCCAGUAGUCCCUGUCUCUUAUA
rnacentral:rRNA from 1 species